AAAUCAACUCGCAAACCACUUGGAAUUCUUCACGGACCACUGCCUUUGAGAACACUGCCCCAUUGACAAACUAAAGCUCGCCCAAUACUCCGCCCUUCUUCAUCUCUGCGCCUCCUGUAUGCAGGCAGGGACCACUUGAGGUGAUAAACGUUAUGACUGCUAUUUUGGGCUCUAUCACGUGGAUUACAGUUAUUCGCUGUCUUUUUUAUAGCCCUGCGCAUAGAAAGGUGCAACUUAAUCGUGUGGAAGCGGCCUGCCACUCUACCUGCUAUGAUAGGCUGCACGGCUGUAGGUUACGGAGCUCAGGAGAGCGGUGACUCAGCCAUAUGUCCCGGCUCUGUUUCAGAUCCCCCACUGUUCAAAUUGAGUCUUAGCAAGUGGAGAUGCACUUCCAUGCCCUGCCUCGGGAUGUCUGUAAUGAAUGGGUACGCUCCAGGAAAGGUUGCUUUGCUUGGAAUUGAAUCCCCUUCGCUCUUGGCUUGAUUGUGCACACAUGCAGCGUUCAGCAGGACGCCUGCCUCAUUCUGUGGAAAUGACAUGGCAGAAGUGAGUUCUUCAAUACAAAUAAAGAGCGCUUCUGAU